GGAAAUGACGUCCAACGCGCGCGGGCCCAGGCUCCCUCAGCGCCCGCGCGGUGGCUGCUGGGUGUUGCGCGCCUUGCCCCUCUCGCUCGCCUCCCAGCCCGCGUCUCCUCCCCCUCCGCUCGCCUGCUCCCUGGCGUGACUCGGCACUCGCAGCUCCGGGAGGACACGUCGUGGUCGCCGUUCCCGCCCAGGCCCCGGCCUCCUGCAGCCCGUCUCCGGCCUCUCUCGGGCUCUGUGCUUCAGUUUUGAGGCCGGAAGCGUCGCGGCCGCCCUGCCGGGCUCUCUGUGAGGAUGGUGGGAGUGAAGCCGGUCGGGAGCGAUCCAGAUUUCCAGCCGGAGCUGAGCGGGGCGGGCUCCAGACUUGCCGUGGUCAAGUUCACCAUGAGAGGGUGUGGACCGUGUCUUCGGAUUGCCCCGGCGUUCAGCUCUAUGAGUAAUAAGUACCCACAGGCAGUCUUCUUGGAAGUAGAUGUGCAUCAGUGCCAGGGAACAGCUGCCACCAACAACAUAUCAGCAACACCUACGUUUUUGUUUUUUCGAAACAAAGUGAGAAUCGAUCAGUAUCAAGGAGCAGAUGCUGUGGGACUAGAAGAGAAAAUCAAGCAGCACUUAGAAAAUGAUCCUGGAAGCAAUGAGGACGCAGACAUUCCAAAGGGCUAUAUGGAUUUAAUGCCUUUUAUUAACAAAGCUGGUUGUGAAUGUCUUAAUGAAAGUGAUGAGCACGGCUUUGACAACUGUUUACGAAAAGACAUGUCCUUCUUGGAGUCUGACUGUGAUGAGCAGCUCCUUAUUACUGUGGCAUUCAAUCAGCCUGUUAAGCUUUAUUCCAUGAAGUUUCAAGGACCAGAUAACGGUCAGGGUCCUAAAUAUGUAAAAAUUUUUAUCAACCUACCCCGAUCUAUGGAUUUUGAGGAGGCGGAAAGGAGUGAGCCAACUCAAGCUCUGGAACUGACAGAAGAUGACAUUAAAGAAGAUGGCAUUGUUCCUCUUCGUUAUGUUAAAUUUCAGAAUGUCAACAGUGUAACUUUAUUUGUUCAGUCUAAUCAAGGAGAAGAAGAAACAACGAGAAUUUCAUAUUUUACUUUCAUUGGUACUCCAGUCCAGGCAACAAAUAUGAAUGACUUCAAACGACUUUUUUAAUACAGCUCAGUGAACUAAAAGCAGAAGAUUUUUUUAAUGAAGUAAUAUACAGAUAAACUCUGUCUCACUGUCCCCCCUUGCUUCAUUGCUCGUCUCCCCCCACCCACUGCUCUCACCCUCCCCACUUCUCAGUUGUCCUCCAAGAUCUCUUCAGCCUCAGCCUCCGUCCGGAUCAGCUACUUAUUACCUAGAUUGCCUCAGCCAUCUCCUCCUGCAGAGCCACCCCUCACGACUCAGUUGGCCCUUUAUUUUGCUUGCAAUUGUGCCUUAAUUUUCUUACCACACUAUGUUGCUCACAAGGCAGUUUUGUUUUUGUUUUUUUAACCUACUGCUGUUUUGUUCAAUAUUUUGAGAAAUAAUUUUGAAGUAAAACUUAAAAUUUUACAAUUGCUUUUAAAUUUAAUAAGUUGAGUAAUAUUUUUAUCCAUUUUAAAGUUUUAUAUUUUAGGAGCAGGAGAAUUGUUUUGGAAAGUACAAGUUUUUCUUUUUUCUCUUUUCUUUCUUUUUUGGUUUUUGUUUUUAACUAGAGCUAGUGUUAAAUACUUCUUAGGUUUUAGUUGCAAGUUGUGAGUUUUCAUAUUGGAACAAUAUCCUCAAAAUAUUUUUGUGGUGUAUCCUCUCAUGCUGAACUCAAGGCCAGUUGAAGGACAUACGGACUAAACAACAGGCUGGGUUAAAACACUAAUGCAGAAGACCAAUGGAUUCUUUACUGAAUGAAAGCUUUUAACAUCUAAUUUUGAUGUACCUAGACUUUGAUUUGUCUGGGGUGUAAUAUAAAGAAUUAAGACAGAAUGAAAGAGCUUUAUGUUUGGGGUGGUUGGCAAAAAAGGGGAAAGCCAUUAGGGUACAAAGACACUGGAAGACUUACUGCAGUCAGACUUGCAGCUCCUGGAUAAUUGCUUGAUUCUCUUCGGAAACUGUUAAUCUUUUAUUUGUUGCCAGUACCAAUAAAUCAUUGCUUUUGUUCAGAUGGCAUCACUAGUGUUUGUAGUGUAAUCGUGAUACAUGCAGUUGUAAAUAAAAGUCACUACUUUUGCCAAGCUUAAGUCUUCGUCAUUCUAUAUAAAUGCAUUCUCUCUCUUUUUAUUUGAAAAUUUGCUAACCUCUUGUUUUAGGAGUUGUGUCUAGUAUCACAUUGACUAAAAGUUACUCUAUCUCUAGAGGAACAGAACGCCACAGGGAUUAGGAGUACUGUCUAUACACAUGGAGAGUUUAGACAGGAUUUGAAACCUCCAUGUAUGUGUAAUGUUUGGAUGCAUGGAUUUGGAAUGGUUAACCAAGUUCAAGUACAUUCUGACUUAUUUUAUCAAAAAGCAUUUGGGUAUCUAGGCUUUACAAAUUUGUUAAAAAACCCAAUUUAUAAACACCCAGUACUCUUACCUAUCACUGGUAGUUAACAGAUUUACAAAUAUUUUGGUUUUAGGUUAGCUUCACUGUUGAUAUCCUUGGGUACCUGCCUUCCAAAUGGUGGGAUUGUAGGCCUGUACCACUAAACCUGGUCUCAUGCCAAGAUUUUAACUUUCUGCAUAAACCUAAACAUUAGAGUCAACUAUUUCCUUUAAUAAUGCAGGUAUUAAAACUGAAUUCAGAAAAAUUUGGAAAUUAUAAUACAUGGAGAUUAUUUAAUUUAAAAAUUAAAAAAUAUGGAAAAUUAGAAUCAAAUCUAUUAUCUAAAUUCACCAAAACAUUCACUCUAUAUAGAUAGAGAACAUGAUUUAAGCUUAAAAUGAGUUGUCCCAGCUGUUUGUUUGAAAGAUCUUCCACAAAAGACUGGAUAAGCAAAUACUUGUUGUUCUAAGCUUUUAAAACAUUUAAUAUUGGCAAAUUUAAUGUUUAAAUACUUUAUUUUGUUUUAUGUUUAUGUGUGUUUGGCUUCCAUGUAUGUGUAUAUUCGUGUGAGUGAGUGUGGUGCCCAGCAGAGGGGUGACAGCUGGUGGGAACUGCCAUGUGGGUGAUGGGAACUGAGCCCAGGCCUCUAUAAGACUGCUGCUCCAUCCCCACACAUUAAUCUUGUAAUUCAUUAUUUUAAAAGCAUAUAUAAGACUAAUAACUUGUAAUUCAUUUAAUACAUUUGAGGGCAUUCUUACCUAUAUAGUGCAGAGGUUUGCCUUUGGAUACUAAUGUACUUAUACGUAA